GACGAACGCUGGCGGCGUGCUUAACACAUGCAAGUGGUGCGACGAACCAGGCUUCGGCCUGGGGCAGAGCCGCGAACGGGUGAGUAACACGUGGGCAACCUGCCCUGUUGAUCGGGACAACCCGGGGAAACCCGGGCUAAUACCGCAUGUGGCGCCGGCUCAUGAUAGCCGUCACGAAAGGAAGCUCCGGCCUCCGCGACAGGCAGGGCCCGCGGCCCAUUAGCUUGUUGGUGGGGUAAUGGCCUACCAAGGCAACGAUGGGUAGCUGGUCUGAGAGGACGAUCAGCCACACUGGGACUGAGACACGGCCCAGGCUCCUACGGGAGGCUGCAGUGGGGAAUCUUGCGCAAUGAGCGACAGCUUGGCGCAGCAACGCCGCGUGGGGGAAGAAGGCUUUCGGGUCGUAAACCCCUUUCAGUUAGGACGAAGCUUUAUUGGUUAAUAACCAAUUGGAGUGACGGUACUUUCAGAAGAAGCCCCGGCUAACUACGUGCCAGCCGCCGCAGUAA
rnacentral:rRNA from 1 species